rnacentral:tRNA from 1 species
ACUUAAAUAGUUUAAUUAAAAUCUUGAUUUGUGGUAUCAAAGAUAUAAGAAUUUAUUUUAAGUU